AUGGCAGGAGCUGUGAAAGAAUCACUCUCUGUCUUGACCUUAGCAUUGGGAUCCAGCAGCCCUGCAUUUAUAAAGAAGCCUGAAUUCGCAGAAGGAAGUGGUGGACUUAGUGCGUCUUCAGAGCGAGGACAGCCCUCUGAUGGCGAGCGUGGAGCAGGCAGUGUCCCACCUCCAGCAGGCAGGUCAGGUGACCCAACGAAACCUGGACAAGAUGUUGUGUCAUACCCCCAUGGGGAAGAAGAGGGUGCCCAUGGGGAUAAUGGACGAGAGAAUGAUCAGCCAGAGGACUCUGAGGCCUCUGCAGUCCACUCUGUUGUCAGAGUGAAUGGGACUAGGUGUAUCUCUCAGCGUGUUUGAGGGGAUCCAGUCCCUGUCACAGCCAUGGAGGUCUGCUCUCACACCACCCAAGCAAGGCUGAACAGAGAUGCGCUCUCUCCCUACACCCAGACCUGGACUUUAUAGAGACCGAUAGUGUACCAGUCAGUGCAAUGUAUCUCUCCUCUCAGCCAGAGACCCUUCUGUAUUCCUCCUUUUUGAUCAUAUUCUUCACCCGUUCGCAUGCAAUGGUACAGGUAUACUAGUUGGUUCUACGUCUGGGGAGCCUCUUCAGAGCAUUUCAGACUUUUAACUGCUGACUGUGAAAAGGUUUGUUGAAUCCAAGGGACAUCAAUGUGUGCAAAAGAAGAAUGUAAUGGUGUAUGUGAGACAGAUAUGUAUAAACAUGUAAUUAUUUGAGAUUUAUAGGGUAAUACAUAUUGAAUGAAAUAAAAGCUGAUGUUGUAGAACUCUUUAUUAUUUUAUUGUUGAAUAAAGAGUCCUUCUUUACAUAAGUCAAAUCAAAAUGUAUUUUUCACAUGCACCGAAUACAACAGGUGCAGACCUUACAGUGAAAUGCUUACUUGCAGGCCCUUAACC
rnacentral:lncRNA from 1 species